AACACUGUUAACCUGCGGUACCUGCGGAGGGAUCAUUAUUGAUUCAAAGAGGUGAUGUGCUGGCUCUUUAAACAAAGAGCAUUGUGCACUCCCUCAAAUCAUCAUAUUCACCUGUGCACAAUUUGAUAGGCAAGUGAAAAAAGGGAAUGGGCAACAUUCUUAAGAUUUGCUUGACUUAUCGUUCUUUUUAUCUAUACACACACUUUAUAUGAAUGUGAACAAAUAUAAAAAUUUGUAACA
rnacentral:misc_RNA from 1 species